GCUCGAAUAGCUCAGUUGGUAGAGCGCUUGACUAGUACCAACCUAGUUCUAUAUAUCAAGAGGUCUGGAGUUCGAAUCUCCAUUUGAGCA
rfam:Byssochlamys spectabilis No. 5 DNA, contig: PVAR5_00024_2.